ACUAGCGAUUCCACUGGGCGCUAUAGGCAGGGCGCACUCACCGAACUCCCCAAUCCCUUCCAGCCUCAGAGCCCGCCUGGCAGGACUACUGAGCAAGGCCUUGGAAAAUCGGAGCGAUUAGAGCGGUUCAAACAAUACAGAAGUGUAUAAAGUAAGAAUUGAAAGUCUCUUCGCUGCUCUAAUCUCACUCCUCAGAGGUGAUCACUGGACCUGAGUGAGCAGAAGGCUUUUCAGAAUUACAGCCUGAACUAUUUCUUGAGCAAUUUGGGAACUCAUUUCUAAAGCAGUCCUCAGAUUCACACAACGUAGUUUGUGACGGAGUAUGCCCAGAGCAGGUAGGAAAGGCAAAACAGCAUUUUGACACUGAGGGAUUUAGCAGAAAGAUCUGACCCAACAAGUAAAAACUCUUUUAAAGGUUCAGUCAAAUUUAUUCUCAUCACACUCCUCUGGAAUGCCCAACAGGCACAUGUUUUGUCAAUGAAAAUUGUUUUCAAUCUCAUUGAUGUUUUGUUUGGCAAGAACCAUUUCUUUCAACAAUUUCUUAUUAAUCAUCUAUAAUUUUUCACUUCUGACAGUGUUAUCACCAGUGCUUUCAGUAACUGCAUACUUAUAAAACAGCCAAACUUCAACCUGUGUUCAGUUUUUAUCUGUUUCUUGGGAAUGUAAUUUGGACAAAAAAGUUACCAAUGUAUUUACAACCAAAUUUCAGAUCUUCAACAUUACAGAGGUGUGGAAGAUGAUCAAAGUAUGACAUUUCUUCUACCCCAGAGGCUGGCAUUUCUGCAGGCACAAAUGAGCUUGGUUUUCAAGCACUGCUCUUUGAACACAAGGAAUUCCUUUAAUGAUCACGCCGGACUAUAUAGACUUUGGAAUCAGACUCUUUGAAUUCCAGCUCUGCCAUUUACCAACUUUGACACUUUGGGUAAGUCCUUUUAACCUCUUUAAGCCUCAGUUUCCUUUUCUGCAAACAGGAAUAAUGAUAACUAACAAUAAUAAUAAUAAUCCUUUCUCAUUGAUUAAAAAU
rnacentral:lncRNA from 10 species